rnacentral:lncRNA from 1 species
GGGUAUGUCAGGCGCUAUCAGUGGAGGUGUGAGUUGUAUGGUAUGGUGACUAAGCUAGAGUGUAGUACAUUGAAACAAUUCGAAGGUUGGUAUUGACUCACUUCCACCUAUUCAUAUUUUCAGAAAGUGAGAGUAGUGAUUUGAAAUUUUUUGAGUCUCUGCUGUUUUCAAACAUCUUUCAUAUGAUUGUCCUAGGUUUUACUUGAGGACAAGCAAAAGAAUAAGUCUGGGAGAGUUGAUAUGUCAUGGAUUUUACCUAUUUUUACCCAUGAUUAUUAUAUAUAUUUUUAGAGUUUUUUAUAUGCAUUUGGAGUCUGUUUUAGAGUCUUUACAGGUUUAGGUAAUCAUUGGACACAAUUGGAGCUUUUGGAUCAUUUUGGAGUUUUGAGGAAAGC